UGCUCAGGCUACAUUUCUUUGUCAUACUGUCUACAACUACAAAUAUAAAUGCUUUAGAAGAGGACUUUUCUAAUGCUUUGGAAUUGCUGUGAGCAAACUUAUAAGAUAACAAUAGAUUUAAUGAUCUUAUCAACUCGACAGCAAUCUUAAA
rnacentral:lncRNA from 1 species